rnacentral:rRNA from 1 species
GAUGAACGCUGGCGGCGUGCCUAAUACAUGCAAGUCGAGCGAACGGACGAGAAGCUUGCUUUUCUGAUGUUAGCGGCGGACGGGUGAGUAACACGUGGAUAACCUACCUAUAAGACUGGGAUAACUUCGGGAAACCGGAGCUAAUACCGGAUAAUAUUUUGAACCGCAUGGCUCAAAAGUGAAAGACGGUCUUGCUGUCACUUAUAGAUGGAUCCGCGCUGCAUUAGCUAGUUGGUAAGGUAACGGCUUACCAAGGCAACGAUGCAUAGCCGACCUGAGAGGGUGAUAGGCCACACUGGAACUGAGACACGGUCCAGACUCCUACGGGAGGCAGCAGUAGGGAAUCUUCCGCAAUGGGCGAAAGCCUGACGGAGCAACGCCGCGUGAGUGAUGAAGGUCUUCGGAUCGUAAAACUCUGUUAUUAGGGAAGAACAUAUGUGUAAGUAACUGUGCACAUCUUGACGGUACCUAAUCAGAAAGCCACGGCUAACUACGUG